GCGCUGUUAGCUCAGUAGGUAGAGCAGUUGGCUUUUAACCAAUUGGUCAGAGGUUCGAAUCCUCUACAGCGUACCA
rnacentral:tRNA from 1 species